rnacentral:lncRNA from 1 species
AAUUUCUUUCCCUGCUUUUAUAUUAAAUUUUAGAGAAGUUUUUUACUUGAACUGCUGAUAUUGUCAUCAUAAAAACAGUGAUAAUCUUAGUGCAUUAGUAUCGAGAUUUGAAUGGACUUUAGUAUAAAGGUGCCCAUAAAUUAUUCAUCAGAUUAAGAAUUGUAAUAAACUGAAAAGAUAUUAAAAAAAUAUUUAUUGCAUUUUAUUCUAUAAUUCAAAGAAUUUUUGAUACUUGCUAUUUAUAAUGACCUUGGCAAGAAAGGGGAAUGAGCACAUUUCUGCCUUGGCGAGAAACAAAUGUUUACUGAUACUCAUAAGUGAUAUAUGUAUUGGUGCACUUCGCUUUCUUGCCGCGGCCGCUAUGGCGAGAAAAGAGAAUUGACGCAUUUCCUUUUUAGUGAAACAAUUACUGAUAAACACAAGCAAUGUGUGUAUCAGUACAGAUUGAUAAUCCUGUGGUUACUUAUCUACACACAUACAUGUGCAGAUUGUUUUCUCACCAAAGCUGCUAUAAAAGAGAAGUACCGGUACCGAUAUUUUUUUUUUUUUUUUUCAAAUGUUAAGACCAUGACAAUUCUUCAGAACACUUCCAC